rnacentral:rRNA from 1 species
AGAGUUUGAUCCUGGCUCAGGACGAACGCUGGCGGCGUGCUUAACACAUGCAAGUCGAACGAAGAGCGAUGGAAGCUUGCUUCUAUCAAUCUUAGUGGCGAACGGGUGAGUAACGCGUAAUCAACCUGCCCUUCAGAAGGGGACAACAGUUGGAAACGACUGCUAAUACCGCAUACGAUCUGACCUCGACAUCGAGGAUGGAUGAAAGGUGGCCUCUAUUUAUAAGCUAUCACUGAAGGAGGGGAUUGCGUCUGAUUAGCUAGUUGGAGGGGUAACGGCCCACCAAGGCGAUGAUCAGUAGCCGGUCUGAGAGGAUGAACGGCCACAUUGGGACUGAGACACGGCCCAGACUCCUACGGGAGGCAGCAGUGGGGAAUCUUCCGCAAUGGACGAAAGUCUGACGGAGCAACGCCGCGUGAGUGAUGACGGCCUUCGGGUUGUAAAGCUCUGUUAAUCGGGACGAAAGGCCUUCUUGCGAAUAGUUAGAAGGAUUGACGGUACCGGAAUAGAAAGCCACGGCUAACUACGUGCCAGCAGCCGCGGUAAUACGUAGGUGGCAAGCGUUGUCCGGAAUUAUUGGGCGUAAAGAGCGCGUAGGCGGUAUGGUAAGUCUGUCUUAGAAGUGCGGGGCUUAACCCCGUGAGGGGACAGAGACUGUCAUACUGGAGUCUCGGAGAGGAAAGCGGAAUUCCUAGUGUAGCGGUGAAAUGCGUAGAGAUUAGGAAGAACACCGGUGGCGAAGGCGGCUUUCUGGACGAGCACUGACGCUGAGGCGCGAAAGCGUGGGGAGCGAACAGGAUUAGAUACCCUGGUAGUCCACGCCGUAAACGAUGGGUACUAGGUGUAGGAGGUAUCGACCCCUUCUGUGCCGGAGUUAACGCAAUAAGUACCCCGCCUGGGGAGUACGGUCGCAAGAUUAAAACUCAAAGGAAUUGACGGGGGCCCGCACAAGUAGCGGAGCAUGUGGUUUAAUUCGAAGCAACGCGAAGAACCUUACCUAGACUUGACAUCUCCUGAAUUACCAUGUAAUGUGGGAAGUCCCUUCGGGGACAGGAAGACAGGUGGUGCAUGGUUGUCGUCAGCUCGUGUCGUGAGAUGUUGGGUUAAGUCCCGCAACGAGCGCAACCCUUAUUGUUAGUUGCUACCAUUUAGUUGAGCACUCUAGCGAGACUGCCCGGGUUAACCGGGAGGAAGGUGGGGAUGACGUCAAAUCAUCAUGCCCCUUAUGUCUAGGGCUACACACGUGCUACAAUGGCCGGUACAACGAGAUGCAAUACCGUGAGGUGGAGCAAAACUAUAAAACCGGUCUCAGUUCGGAUUGUAGGCUGAAACUCGCCUACAUGAAGCUGGAGUUACUAGUAAUCGCGAAUCAGAAUGUCGCGGUGAAUACGUUCCCGGGCCUUGUACACACCGCCCGUCACACCAUGAGAGUUGGCAAUACCCAAAGUUGGUGAUCUAACCCGUAAGGGAGGAAGCCACCUAAGGUAGGGUCAGCGAUUGGGGUGAAGUCGUAACAAGGUAGCCGUAGGAGAACCUGCGGCUG